UCUAACAGAGCAGCUGUGUUCAUCCUGAAAAUUCAUCACACACAUGUUUGAUAUUUACUAAUAACUUUCUUAGAUAACUUCUUGAGGCGGUUUGCUUGCAUGAAAACAUUUUAGAGGUAAAAUACAAAUGCACACAUUUUCAGAUUUAUUUUUAAUAAUGCAUAUCAUAUAAAUCAUAACAAAAUACAUAGAGGUGUGUGAUUGUAACGUGACAAAAUGUGACAAAGCUUCAGUGAUCAUGACUGAGUAUGCAUUUGUAGGCCACUGUUGUUUGGCAGUGCAUUUUCUUUAACAUACCAGUUUCCAGAGCUGUGCCUCCAUUUGGAUUUUUAUUUUGCACAGGCACAUGAAAGCCCAUCCCAUCCAUCUUAGAAAGUGAGCAAAAGCGUGUACGGUUGAGUAGCAAUGGUGUUAUGACAGUGCUUCUAUUCCCAACACUCCUGGGACUGCAGUCAGACGAGUCAUAAAUAUACAGGAGCAUCUGUUUGAGUUUUACACACAGAUACAUACAACACUGUCCUACCAACCGGAAGGGCGUUGGCUCUUUUUCUCCCCUGACAACACUGACACUUCCCAGUGGGAGCCAGCAUUGUUAUGGCAACUGAGACAGUUGGAUUUCCAUAUUCAUUAAUAUUAAUAGAGGUCCUGGUAAUGUAUCUUGAAUGUUAAACUGUUUUUAAGGGCAUAUGGUGGACAGGACCCUGAGAGGACCUGUAGUUCCCUUUUAAUUUGUUUAUGCAUGUUAUUAUAGGAAAGAUGAAAAGAGGGGGGUGAUAAUGCUAAGUGUUAGCUGAUAGCUAAGGACAAAGGAGAAAGAGUUUGUUUGGUGGGUUCACAGCACUACUUCUGCCUUUCAGAAUGCAAGGACCUUGUGUACCGGCUUACCUGCGCUGCACUGUUCCACCUGCAUGUAGAAGGUGCAGACUUGGGGAAAACUCAGCGGGGGGCAGCUGUGUCAGGAUGUGAUAUACUGUGGGAGUGGACCCCAGGAUGCAGACGAGCAGGCAGAGUUGCGUGUCCCUGCAGCCUUUCAAAAUGACACCUCCUCACUGGUUCCUGUGCUGAAGGACAACCAACACACCGCUUUCUCUUCCUGACCUCCGUGCGAGCAGGGUGAACCUUCACAACCUGCAGCCGC